UUGUUAGUUUUUAAGACUCUUGUUAUUACAUAAGGUCAUAUAGUAUACAUGAUUAUACAUUCUGAGUGUUAAACCACUAAGAAUUAGCUGAAGGAGAAAAGCCCGAAAAUAAAAAUGAACAUAUUUAAGUAAUGACACGGUGUGUCUUUUGAAUGUAAUAUUUUAAUGUUUUUGACUGUUUUAAUAGUCAAAAUAGUGCUAGUCAUAGUCAUUUAAUAGUCAUAAUAGUGCUAGUUAUGAUCAUGUAUCCACAUCCAUAAGCAGUGAAUAAGAACAGAGGUAUUUCCUUAGGU
rnacentral:lncRNA from 1 species